rnacentral:rRNA from 1 species
GCCUAGCCAUAAACCAAAACAAUUAAUAAACAAAACUGUUCGCCAGAGUACUACUAGCAAUAGCUUAAAACUCAAAGGACUUGGCGGUGCUUUAUAUCCUUCUAGAGGAGCCUGUUCUAUAAUCGAUAAACCCCGUUACACCUAACCACCCCUUGCUAAUACAGCCUAUAUACCGCCAUCUUCAGCAGACCCUAACAAGGAACCAAAGUGAGCAUAAUAAUUAACACAAAAACGUUAGGUCAAGGUGUAGCCUAUGAGGUGGGAAGAAAUGGGCUACAUUUUCUAAAGUUAGAAUACCCACGAAAACCUUAAUGAAAUAAUUAAGCAUAAGGCGGAUUUAGUAGUAAGCCAAGAAUAGAGAGCUUGACUGAACUAGGCCAUAAAGCACGC